UAGGUGGCAAGCGUUAUCCGGAUUUACUGGGUGUAAAGGGCGUGUAGGCGGGACUGCAAGUCAGAUGUGAAAACUAUGGGCUUAACCCAUAGCCUGCAUUUGAAACUGUGGUUCUUGAGUGAUGGAGAGGCAGGCGGAAUUCCGUGUGUAGCGGUGAAAUGCGUAGAUAUACGGAGGAACACCAGUGGCGAAGGCGGCCUGCUGGACAUUAACUGACGCUGAGGCGCGAAAGCGUGGGGAGCAAACAGGA
rnacentral:rRNA from 1 species